AACGUAGGAGGCGAGCGUUAUCCGGAUUUACUGGGCGUAAAGCGCACGCGGGCGGCUUGGCAAGUCGGCUGUGAAAGCUCCUGGCUUAACUGGGAGAGGCCAGUCGAAACUGCUGGGCUUGAGGUUGGGAGAGGGGUGUGGAAUUCCCGGUGUAGUGGUGGAAUGCGUAGAUAUCGGGAGGAACACCAGUGGCGAAGGCGGCACCCUGGCCCACACCUGACGCUGAGGUGCGAAAGCGUGGGUAG
rnacentral:rRNA from 1 species